AAGGAAGAGAGAGGUGGGAGAAGAGAAACAAGGACAAUAAUCAUCAUCAUCAUCUUUUUUUUUUUUUUUAAUUUAUUUAUUUUUUUGAAAAAACCCCAAAAAUAGUGACCGCGGCGGGGACGGCUGGAGGAGUUGGAUGGGGCUGGGGGGCGGCGGGGCGAAGGCGCGCACGCAAUUUAAGGUCGAAUAGAGGACUCGACAAAGGAUUUGCCGGGGAAGGGGGGGAUAGGGAGAUGUGUAACCUUGCACGGGAGAAGUGAGCGUGGGGGGAGCGCGAUGGCGAGGGGCAAGCGCGGCGGGCUAACAAAGAGCCAUCCAGCCGGCGGGCGGGCGGCGGGAGCCCCCCAGCCCCCUGCCCCCUUACCUGGUGAGGUUUGCCAGCUCAGGCCUCCGAUAAACAUUUUGCUGGAAGAAGAAAACAGAACAGAGUUAAGCACAGAUGUCAGAUCGGCCAUUUUGACGGCCAAGGUGUGGGAUUUUCAAGGGACAUUUUCAAGAUAAAACUCCUGGGGCCAAUUCUUCUCCCAGGCUUAAGCAGCUCCAAGGAAUAUAAUCACAACUGAGGAAAGAAGUUGGAUUUAUGGCUUUGAAAAGAUCUCGCUCAUGUUACCAGUAACAUCCUAGAGAAUUAAAAGUCACAUUAAUUUUAAAAA